rnacentral:rRNA from 1 species
GACGAACGCUGGCGGCGUGCUUAACACAUGCAAGUCAAGGACGAUUAGUGGGGGUAACCCUGCUAAUUGGACUGGCGCACGGGUGCGGAACACGUAGGCAAUCUGCCCUUGGGGGGAGAACAACUCAUCGAAAGGUGAGCUAAAUCUCCGUAACAUAAAAGAUCGGCAUCGAUUUUUUAUCAAGCUCUCCCAGGGAUGAGCCUGCGUCUGAUUAGCUUGUUGGCGGGGUAACGGCCCACCAAGGCUACGAUCAGUAGCUGGUCUGAGAGGAUGAUCAGCCACAUUGGGACUGAGACGCGGCCCAGACUCCUACGGGAGGCAGCAGUGAGGAAUAUUGCUCAAUGGACGAAAGUCUGAAGCAGCAACGCCGCGUGAGGGAUGAAGGUGCUCUGCAUUGUAAACCUCUGUAGUCGGGGACAAAUGAUGGGUUACUACCAUUUGA